UGGGGAAUUUUGGACAAUGGGCGAAAGCCUGAUCCAGCAAUGCCGCGUGUGUGAAGAAGGCCUUCGGGUUGUAAAGCACUUUUGUCCGGAAAGAAAUCCUUGGCUCUAAUACAGUCGGGGGACGACGGUACCGGAAGAAUAAGCGCCGGCUAACUACGUGCCAGCAGCCGCGGUAAUACGUAGGGUGCAAGCGUUAAUCGGAAUUACUGGGCGUAAAGCGUGCGCAGGCGGUUUGCUAAGACCGAUGUGAAAUCCCCGGGCUCAACCUGGGAACUGCAUUGGUGACUGGCAGGCUAGAGUAUGGCAGAGGGGGGUAGAAUUCCACGUGUAGCAGUGAAAUGCGUAGAGAUGUGGAGGAAUACCGAUGGCGAAGGCAGCCCCCUGGGCCAAUACUGACGCUCAUGCACGAAAGCGUGGGGAGCAAACAGGAUUAGAUACCCUGGUAGUCCACGCCCUAAACGAUGUCAACUAGUUGUUGGGGAUUCAUUUCCUUAGUAACGUAGCUAACGCGUGAAGUUGACCGCCUGGGGAGUACGGUCGCAAGAUUAAAACUCAAAGGAAUUGACGGGGUCAUAGCUG
rnacentral:rRNA from 1 species